CUACUUUUUAAGAAAGUUACAUACCUCCCUUUUUAAAACAAUAUCAUGUAACCCUAAAAUCCAUUGUUUUUACAACUCUACUGCGGAUGAAUUUUCUUUUUGUCAAAACACUCUCAUCAAUAUUAUGAUUAAUAUUCCCAUCAAUAUUCGAAACUGGGUUAAAGCUACGACAAAAAUUGGCAACCUCGCACAUUUCAUUAUAUGUCAAGUGUCGAUUGUUGGAUUGUUGUUGCAACAAAAACAUCAAAACACAAGAUGCAAAUUGUUUUAUUUCCUUAAAUUUAUCAAUUUUUAAGUAAAAUCUCGUAUUGUAAUAAAGAAUAUGAAACAUUUCAACCUAAAAUAAAAUAAAUAAAAGAUUAGUAGUAACUACAUAAUUCUAUUAUAUAAAAUAUGUCUUAAAUUAGUGACAGCUUAAUCAUCCAGAAAGGUGUAAAAAUUUCAAUUUUCAAAGUCGUUUUUUAUUUAAACUAAUGGAUAUUUCGCAAAAAUUUUUUUUGUUACUGGAUUAGAAUAAUGUAUAUUUGCAUAUUUUUCACAAAAAUGUCCCGGAUUCGUGUGGCAGUUUAAUCGUCCAGCACCUAGUAUUAUUAAUAUAGUGCAUAAAAUCAGUUGGAGUAGCAGAAGCAAUGUAGAUAAAAAAUCUGCAGGAAUAAUGUUUCAAAGCUUUCCAGAAGAUCCUGCGAAGAAGGCAUGAAGUAUUGAUCAGAUUUGUUAAUAGAGCAGUAUGUUCAAAACAUUUUUUAGAAAAAGAUAUUGACAGAACUUCACUUUCAACCGUUUGAGAGACUGUGCUGUUCCAAUAGCUUAUAUCACACAGAAUCAGCUGAGAGAAGUGGUCUACAAAAAACCAGGAAGGAAAUGGAAUAUGUGGCUAUGAAAGGCAAAAGAAAGGUUUACAAAGCAAAUGUGACACAUUUUUUUAUAGGAAUAUCAGUAAAUUACAUUAAAAAAAUGUAUGAAAAGAUUUUUUGCAAUAAAAAUGUUUAUAUUUAUCAAGGAUGCAUUAUUUGGUAUGGCCACAUAUCGUCAGUGAUGUGACAAUACCUCCUAUCUGUUUUUUCAUGAGAUUUGUAAGAUAGACUAAAAACUUGUUUGGGCCACCUCCUGUUUUCAUAUAUUUUUUGACUUGUUUUGCAGUAAAUUUAACUAUCUAUUUACUACAAAACAAGCCAGAACUUACGUAUGCAAACAGGAGGUGACCUUAAAAAAUGUUUUUCGUCUCCUGCAAACCUCAUGAAAAAAGAUAUAGGAGGUAUUGUCACAGCACUGACGAUAUAUUUCAGAGAAUGUCUAAAAAAUAUACUGUGAAUGUUCAAAGAACGUUCGUAGACAUUCAUGGAAUGUUCCAACAAGACAUUUAGUCUAAAAAAUAUACUGUGAAUGUCCAAAGAACAUUCAUGGAAUGUUCCAACAUUCAUGGAAUGUCCCAACAAGACAUUCAGUCUAAAAAAUAUACUGUGAAUGUCCAAAGAACAUUCAUGGAAUGUUCCAACAAGACAUUCAGUCUAAAACAUAUACUGUGAAUGUCCAAAGAACAUUCGUAGACAUUCAUGGAAUGUUCCAACAGAACAUUCUAAGAA